AACAAAAAAGGAGGAUGACUCAACUGUCUUCCGAAAAGAGAUGCAGCUAUAUUGAAAAGACAAUUUUUUCAACCGCGAACAUACCUAGGCGGGAUUAAAAAUAUGACAGCGUUAUCCGAUAUUGUAAUCAUCGUUGAUCAGCAUGAAGAAUAUAUGGCCCCUGCAAGAGUGCAUCACUUUGGAAAUUCUAACAAUUACUUUAACUGAUACUAAACAAAUUAUGACUCCAAUCCUGCAGAUGUUUCGAUUUUCAACUUAUGCAAUUAAAAGUCAAAAGUUUUACCUGUUCAACUCAAGUCUUCAUGAGCUUGAUUGUAUGAGGUUCAAUCCUUUGAGACCAACAACAUCCUGAGUUAAGGUCGAAAUAUAGUAACAUAGUAUUCCAAGCUUUAUGUUCAAGUUAGAUAUGGC
rnacentral:lncRNA from 1 species